AUGCUCACUUCAGCAGCACAUAUACUAAAAUUAGAAUGAUACAGAGAUUAGCAUGGCCCCUGUGCAGGGAUGACAGGAAAAUUCGUGAAGCAUUCCAUAUUAAA